rnacentral:rRNA from 1 species
AACGUAGGGGGCGAGCGUUGUCCGGAAUUACUGGGCGUAAAGAGCUCGUAGGCGGUAGUUCAAGUCAGGUGUGAAAUCCGACGGCUUAACCGGAGGACUGCACCUGAUACUGGGCUGCUAGAGGUAAGGAGAGGAAGGUGGAAUUCCCGGUGUAGAGGUGAAAUUCGUAGAUAUUGGGAGGAACACCAGAGGCGAAGGCGGCCACCUGGACUAGAUCUGACGCUCAGGUGCGAAAGCGUGGGGAGCAAACAGG